rnacentral:rRNA from 1 species
UACGUAGGGGGCAAGCGUUGUCCGGAUUUAUUGGGCGUAAAGAGUGUGUAGGCGGCCAGGUAGGUCUGCUGUGAAAACUCGAGGCUUAACCUCGAGAUGUCGGCGGAAACCAUCUGGCUAGAGUCCGGAAGAGGAGAAUGGAAUUCCCGGUGUAGCGGUGAAAUGCGCAGAUAUCGGGAAGAACACCCGUGGCGAAGGCGGUUCUCUGGGACGGUACUGACGCUGAGACGCGAAAGCGUGGGGAGCGAACAGG